AACGAACGCUGGCGGCGUGCCUGAGACAUGCAAGUCGUGGGAGAAAGUCGGAGCAAUCCGGCUAGUAAACCGGCGCACGGGUGAGUAACACGUGGACAACCUGCCUUGGAGUUCGGGAUAACCCGUCGAAAGACGGACUAAUACCGGAUAUGACCACGGGGAGUUCGCUCUCUGAGGUAAAAGAUGGCCUCUGCUCCUGCAAGCUAUCUCUUCGAGAGGGGUCCGCGUCCUACAG
rnacentral:rRNA from 1 species